rnacentral:misc_RNA from 1 species
UUUCCGUAGGUGAACCUGCGGAAGGAUCAUUCAUAAUAAAGUGUUUUAUGGCACUUUUUAAAAAUCCAUAUCCACCUUGUGUGCAAUGUUAGAUCUCGUCAAUCUUGGCGAGUUUUUUAUACAUCAACUCAUUCUUUAACUAAUUUGUCUGAAAAAUAUUAUGAAUACUUAAUUCUAAAUACAACUUUCAACAACGGAUCUCUUGGCUCUC